rnacentral:piRNA from 1 species
UAGGUCUACAGGUGAUUGUUUAAAUAUAGAU